AUUAUGUAAAGCUUUGACCAUGGCUUUCAUUGCCCUAUUCAUAUGAGGAGUGUGUCCAUCAUAGUGAACAUUAGGAAUAUCCGAGAUACGAAUCUUCUGAGUACAAUUACGUGGUUUAAAGUUAAAAUACAAAAUAUAAAAAUCAGUCUUUUUGGGGUUAAGUGAGUAACAAUUAAAAUAAUACAUCCAAAUAUAAUCAAGUAACUUGUCCCUUGGGUAUUUCGAAGGAUAAAU